UGCUCAACAACUCCUAUCCCUACCUCCUCGCGGUACUGGCCGGGGUACGAGUAAUUUUAGGGAAGAUCGGGUAACCAACCUCGGUGGGAACCCUGGUUGUAUGCUAACAGGGAAGG
rnacentral:ribozyme from 1 species